rnacentral:tRNA from 1 species
GCUGAUGUGGCUCAGUGGUGAGAGCACUGGCCCACACAGCCAAGGGUCACUGGUUUGAUCCCCUGUCAAGGGCA